UACGAAGGGGGCUAGCGUUGCUCGGAAUCACUGGGCGUAAAGGGCGCGUAGGCGGGUCUUUAAGUCAGGGGUGAAAUCCUGGAGCUCAACUCCAGAACUGCCUUUGAUACUGAAGAUCUUGAGUUCGGGAGAGGUGAGUGGUAACUGCGAGUGUAGAGGUGAAAUUCGUAGAUAUUCGCAAGAACACCAGUGGCGAAGGCGGCUCACUGGCCCGAUACUGACGCUGAGGCACGAAAGCGUGGGGAGCAAACAGG
rnacentral:rRNA from 1 species